rnacentral:rRNA from 1 species
UGGAAUCGCUAGUAAUCGUGAAUCAGAAUGUCACGGUGAAUACGUUCCCGGGUCUUGUACACACCGCCCGUCACACCAUGGGAGUCAGCAACGCCCGAAGUCAGUGACCUAACCGAAAGGGAGGAGCUGCCGAAGGCGGGGCCGGUAACUGGGGUGAAGUCGUAACAAGGUAUC